rnacentral:misc_RNA from 1 species
CAUCUUUUAUUUUUUGAAACUGCAGAUAGUUUGGACAAGAACCACAUGUAAAUAGCAGUCAAUAUCAGUAGCAAACAGAAAUUGAUCAUCUUAUCUAACUGUACGCCUCAACUGUCUAAAGGUUUUAAUAGUUGUCAAUUAAUUGAAAUGCACUCAAACCUUACGCCACGACAAAUUUCUCAAAAAAAUAAUUAAAAAAAAAAAUGCUAUUGCAAAAUCCUUUCUUGAUUGCAUGGGUUUUAAUACUCCUUUCAAUUGCAGCUAUCAGAGCUUGCAUUAGCGCGAGCGUUUCAAAUUUUCAAUUUAAUUAGGGGUUGUGAGAUAAAUACACAGAUUCUGACAAUCAAUUCAAUCUCAACAAACUGGAUUUCACACCUCCCCCACUUCAAGGCGAAGCAAUCAAUACAGGAGAAAGGGAAAAGAUUUUGCAUUUUCUGAUGGUGAUAUAUUUUUUUUUUUCUCCCAAAACCAAUAUACAUGGAGAAGUGUUGCUUUUACGGUUUAGAAACAGGUUUUGAGAAUUGACAAAUGAAGAUGAAUAUCAAAUGUUUGAAAAAAAAAUAGCAGCAGAAAAUGCCAACCUUAGCGAGCGAACAUGAAAAGGA